CCCGCUGAGGACUCGUGUUCUGGAAGGGAGCGAUUCUCGAGACCUUUGUUACAGCCUGUAGCCCAGAGCUUUAGGACUUUGGGUGGAAGGAGUGGCAUUUCUAGCCAGCUCCCUUCUGGAGACUUGGCUAUUGUAACAAAGAAUCACUGGAUGCCCAUAGCACCUCCUGACCAGCAAGGGAGGGGUCUCCCUGCACUUGUGCACCCCAAAUGGCAUGUUUUUGUCAGCUCUGAAUUUCCCCUUCUCUGCUUCACCUUCAGGAUAAGGAAAAAACCUGACUUGGUCUCUUAGCUUUCCUGCUCACUCACAGGGGAAGGCAGAUGAGAUCCUGGACUUGCUCCCAUGGCCUUGGGCCCACUGUGCCCCCCAAAAAUAUCUUCCUCUCCCCUAAAAACAACUGAUGGAGAGUGCACCAACCGCUCUAGUUACAGAAAUGCACCCAGGGCUGCCAACCCUCUUGUACCCUGAAUGGCUCUCCAAGGCUCUACCCAAAGGCCUGGCCCGAGCUGAGAUCCUUCCAGCCAAGACCCCGCCCUGAGGGGAUGGUGAGAGCUCUGUGUGUCAGCCCCGGCCUGGAGGCUGAGCUGGGAGGGAAAAUUAUCCCUUUUCUAAGGUCCUGUCAGCGGUGACUGCCACUUCUCCAAGGGCCACGACACCUUUUCCCCAGGAGCAGCAUGUCCGUUGUUACAAAGCUUCCAUUUUUGCAAAGGAAACAUUUUCAGUUUCAUUUUCUCCCUGUAGUAGAAGAAGAAAAAUCACUUACAGCUGCUAUCGUAAAUAAACCAAAAGAAUUUCA